ACUUGUUUUUCGGAGAUAUAACGGCGGAGACGUCCCCGUAAAGCGCGGAGACGUCCCCGGAGCGCGGAGUCGUCCCCGAAGAAGCGGAGUCGUCCCCAUGCAAAAAGGGCAAACAAGCGGAGACGUCCCCGUAAAGCGCGGAGACGUCCCCGGAGCGCCUGGGACGCGACUAACAACUUUUUCAGGUUUGAUUUGAAUUUCAAACGUCUCUUUUUUGUGUCUAACGGCUAUAUUUGCUUUUUGGGCUAUAAAAGAGACCUCUUAAGUGCUUCUCAACAUCUUCUUACCAACCCAAUACAAGAUCAUUCAAGAGAGAAGAGAGAAAAAGAGGUUCAAGGGAGUUAGUGCAUUCAAGUGAAGAAAUCAAGCGCCUUCAAGUUUUCCAACAGAUUUCGUGCUCAACUACCCUCUCCCGUUUGGCAUUCAAAGCUCACAUUCAAGCCAACGCGAUCCACAUCGGAAGAACCAUCAUCUCCCACGCUUCCAACGGCUAAAAGGGUUCUUGCGGGUUCUAUUGUUUAUAUUGUUAUAUUUGCUUGUUUAAGAAGCUUUGAUUUGUUUUAAACCUUUAUUCUAAUAUCUUGUAACUUGAUUCAAUCAAGGGAUUGAAUCAAA
rnacentral:lncRNA from 1 species